rnacentral:rRNA from 1 species
CAGUAGCCGCGGUAAUACGAAGGGUGCAAGCGUUACUCGGAAUUACUGGGCGUAAAGCGCGCGUAGGCGGUUACUCAAGUCAGAGGUGAAAGCCCGGGGCUCAACCCCGGAACUGCCUUUGAAACUAGGUGACUAGAAUCUUGGAGAGGUCAGUGGAAUUCCGAGUGUAGAGGAGAAAUUCGUAGAUAUUCGGAAGAACACCAGUGGCGAAGGCGACUGACUGGACAAGUAUUGACGCUGAGGUGCGAAAGCGUGGGGAGCAAACAGGAUUAGAUACCCCUGUAGUCCCUGUCUCUUAUAU